CAUAAUUAAAAUGGAUUUACAACCCCAUAAUCAAAAUAGGCCAACACAUAUGGCUAAAGCCAUAUCACAUACUCUAAUAUUUAAACUCCUAUACAUGCCAUAGGCUCAAAGUACUUGAAAUCACUACACCAAUAACGUUAGCUUGACAGUGUGAUAAUAUCUCCGACGAACUCCAACCCGAGCUAACCUGGCAACCCUAGGAAAUAUGGGAAAGAAGGAGGGGUAAGCUUUCACUUAGUAAGUUCAUAUGAAAACAAUAAGCAACUCAUUAACUUGUUUUAUCAAUGUUUACAACAUAUUCUCAAGUUCACUACAAGCUGUCUUUCUGAGCAAUAGUCACUAAAUUAUUUAUAUCUGGAGCUACGAAACUCCGAAUUAAGUUCCGUUAAUUUUCCAUAAAACUAGACUUAUUUUCCUUUCUUCCAUAAAAUUUCCAGAAUUUUUGGUUAAGCCAAAUAGUACAGUUUAUUCCUCAAAGUUACCCCUGAUUCACUGUCUGAUAGUUCCGACCCUUCUGUACUAAAGUUCAAUUAUCUCAUAGUACAAGACUCGAAUAAUGUUCUCGUCUAUUUCUCUUGAAACUAGACUCAUAUUUAUACUUACUAAUUUUUUUAUAAAAUUUUUGGUUGGGCCAAUUAGUACAAUUUAUUAGUUAAAUUCUCCCCUGUUUCAGGGUAUGACCACUCUGACCCCUGUGCACUACGAACCGAAUUUCGCCCUGUACAGAAUUCCAACGAUCAUUCCGUUUAUUGCCCCUAAAAAUAGACUCAAUAAGGAAUCCAUGAAUAUAAGGUAUUACUCUUAAUAAUUUUUGUACAAUUUUUGGUGAAUUUCUAAAUUCAGAAUAGGGGAACUCGAAUUCAUUCAGACCCUGUUUCACAAAAAUUCAAAUAUCACACAAUAUGGAAUUCUUUUUCUUCCCUUGUUUCUUUCAUGUGAAAAUAUACUCAUUAAGAUUUAAUCCCAUAUUUUAUUCUGCCUCUAACUCAUUUUCCAAUAUUUUUAGUGUAUUUUCAAAGUUACACUACUGCAGUAACUCAAAUCUGUCAAGGCUAAAUUACUAAUUCAUGAUCAUUGUUCACAAAAUUAAUACAACAUCAAUUAUAUAAUCAUCACCGAGACAUUCAUAUCACAUUUUCAUUUACCAUCUUACCAUUUUGUUGUUAUGUCGAGUUUUCAACCCGAGGGUUAAGUAUAUACCUGUUCAAAGUGCCACAUAUAUAGCCAAGCUACUAUGUAACCCACCCAUAAGUGAACUCGGACUCAACUCAACGAGCUCGGAUGCCUAGUUACAUCUCACGAACUCGGACUCAACUCAACGAGUUCGAACAUUCGCAUCCAUAAGUGAACUCGGACUCAACUCAACGAGCUCGGAUGCCCAAAUAUUCCAGUGACAUGUCACUUGUAUCCUAAUCUAUUCCUAAGGUUCAACGGGACCUUUUUCCCAAUCAUGUGUCUCAACCAUCUUCUAGGGAAUGUCGAUACUAAUACUCGGUAGUAUUUCACAUUUUCCAAGUAUAUCAUAUAAUUUGACAUAUUAUCAAACAAUUAUCACAAGUAUAAUAUAUCAUAAUAAUUAUCAUAUAAUUUAAAUAACAUCAAAACAUUUAACAUUUACAUAUGAACUUACCUCGAUACCACAAAGGUAAAAAAGACGUAAUUAUCCCUUAAUCGAUUUCUUUCCGUUCUAGGUCAAAAUCUCGAUUUUCACCAUCUAAAAUAUCACAUUCAACUUAUUAAAACAAUGUACUGAUCAAAUUAGUCCAUUGACACACUUGAGCAAUUUUUACAAUUUUGCCCCUAUAUUUUGCCAAAAUUACCAAAUUACCCCUAGGCUCGUAAAAUUUUUUUUAUCACAUUUCUUUACUCCUUGAGUCUAGAUGAACCAUUUUCAUAACUAUAGCAACUCAUAAUUUCAACUAUUUCACACAUUUACAACUCAUUUUACAACUUAGCAAUCUAGCCAUUUUUAAGGUGUUUUCAUGCAAUUUCUUUCACAAAAAGUUGUUUAUUAGACAACUAGGACUCAUAAUAUUCUAUAAAAACACAGCAAACAACACAUUUACUCUCAUGGAAAAACCCUAGACUCUUCAUCAUUUUGCAAAAUAGACCCCCCAUAUGAAAGCUCAUACUUUAGGGGUUCCAAAAAUGUAAAAAUCAUCAAGAAAGACAUUAAAAAUCACUUACUAGCAAGGGAUGUAAGUGGCUGAUAUUUCAGAGCUUCAAAACCCCUUUCUUUUCUUCCAUUUUCGGUGGAGGAGAAGAGAAAAAUGAUAGCUUUUUCUUUUUAAUUUGUCAAUAA
rnacentral:lncRNA from 1 species